AAAGUUUUAUUUAGUCUCCUGAAUUUGCGCCAGGCUGUGACGAAUCGAUGUCUGUCACUCUGUUUAAAUAAAUAAAAAAUUGGAACAUUUAAUUAACUAGGCAAGUCAUUUAAGAACAAAUUCUUAUUUACAAUGACCCCUGCCAAACCCGAACGACGCAGGGCCAAUUGUGCGCCGCCCUAUGGAACUCCCAAUCACGGCUGGAUGUGAUACAGCCUGGAUUCGUAUCAGGGACUGUAGUGGCGCCUCUUGAACUGAGAUGCAGUGCCUUAAACCACUGGGCCACUCUGGAGCCCAUUAAAAAAUAUAUCGACCUCUGUAGGGCAGGCAAAGCCUGUAUCAACAUUAGAAAGAAAAAAAGGAUUCUGUUUGGCCAGUGGCCAUACUAGUGGGUGCAGGAAACUGUCUUUUACCGGAAUAAUUCACUUCCUCAGCUGUAGCAGUUCCACAUUACCUGUGAAACAGGAACAGGACCUGAGCCCUAGGACCUCACCUCAGGACUACCUGGCUUGAUGACUCCUG